GGCGCGCUGCAGGGAUUUUCCACUCCUCUGGGCCCAGGCUGAGUGCGGGUCCCCUGCUCGCCAGCUCACCGCCCCGAGCUGCGCGGCGUGCGGCCCUUCCAGAUGGCGGUGGCGCAGAAGCUGCUGUCUCACGUGUGCUCCAUCGCGGACUCCAGCGCCCAGAACCUGGACCUGGGCUCCUUCCCCCUGUGGUCCCUGUGGGCGCGCUGCAGGGAUUUUCCACUCCUCUGGGCCCAGGCUGAGUGCGGGUCCCCUGCUCGCCAGCUCACCGCCCCGAGCUGCGCGGCGUGCGGCCCUUCCAGAUGGCGGUGGCGCAGAAGCUGCUGUCUCACGUGUGCUCCAUCGCGGACUCCAGCGCCCAGAACCUGGACCUGGGCUCCUUCGAGAAGGUGGACUUCCUGAUCUGCAUCCCGCCCUCGGAGGUCGCCUUCCAGCAGACCGUGGGCCGCGUGUGGCACUCAGGUAGGGGCGUGGGGGGACAGGGACACGGGCAGAACCUUGGCAGAUGUCAGCACCCUUCUUGGCGGUGGAACUCACUAUGGAGCCCAGGCUGGCCUCAAACUCCUGGAGAUCCUCCUGCCUCAGCCUCCCCAGUGCUGGGAUGACAGGCUAGCGCCCCCAUGCCCAGCUUUGCUUUUAUUUUGUAGACUGUGAUGCUGGUCUCAGACAUGGAUUUGCCCAGGGCUUUGGGACCUGGUGAAGGGAGAAUGAGACAGAAACCCUCACUGCGUCCCUCGGGCCAGGACCCACCUGUGAUGUGGCUUCUACCUGAUGUCUGUCUGGGGAGAUUGCGUGUAAAUGUGGAAUACACAGGCAGCUGGUGUCUUAACACUAGGGAGUUACUCUCACUGGGCUGGUAGCACGUGCUUAGAAUCCCAGCACUCUGGGAAGCUGAGGCAGGAGGAUCUCAAUUCGAGCCCAGCCUGGCCAACCUAGCAAGACUUUGUGUCUAAAUAAAAAAUGCCAAGGGCUGGGGAUGUAGCUCAGCGCAAAGGCCCUGGUUCAGUCUCCCGAAGUCUCUUCAGUGCUGUGACAAAGGGACCCGAGGUGGCUUUGCGUGGCCGUGCAGCCUUCCCUUCCCUCCAGCCUUUCCUGCUUUUCAGUCCCUGGGGUGCACACAGCCAGGCCUUGGGGGGGGGGGCGCGCCCCCGCCCCGACGCUGCGUUGUGUCCCCGCGUGGCAGGGGUGCUGCGGGAUCUGGGCCUGGAGCCAGAGCCAGGGAGCAGGCAGAGGGCGGAGCGGCACGUGCUGAAGCUGGACGCCGAGGCGCACGCCAGGUUCCAGGCGUUCCUGCACAGCUCCCUCCAGAACCCGCACACGCUCUUCCUGCUCAUCCACGACCAUGCGCACUGGGACCUCCAGAGUGGCGCCAUCCACAAUCUCUACUCCCAAAGCGACCCAUCUGUGGGGCUGGUGGACAGACUGCUCAACUGCAGGGGGGUGAAGGAGGCCCCCAACAUCGUGACGCUCCAUGUGACAUCCUUUCCAUACGCGCUGCAGACCCAGCACACCCUCGUCAGCCCCUACAAUGAAAUCCACUGGCCGGGGCCCGACAGUGACGGCACAGACCUAUACCCUGAAAACAAGAAGUACUUCGGGCUGGCCGAGUUCAUUGAGUCCACCGUCUCGGGACACAGCCUCCCCCUGCUCAGAUAUGACAGCUCCUUCGAGGCCAUGGUCACCGCGCUGGGAAAAAGGUACACGUGUCCGUCCCAGUCCUACAAGUGCUCAGCGGCUUCCACUGCAGGUGCAGCCUGCCGGGACCCCAGCAUGGGGUCACUGCGCCUCCCCGGGGACCCUGGCUUCUGUCUUCUGUGCGAAUCCUGUAGGGGCAGCGAUACCUUUCUCGCGAUGCUGACCAGGACAUCUUAUUUCAUUUUCAGAGGCAGAGCCUCCCUAUGCAGCCCAGGCUGGCCUCAAACUCACCAGGCUCCUCCUGCCUCAGCCUCCUGAGUGCUAGGGUCACAGGUGUGCACGCAGCUCACAGAAUUUUAAAGAUGAGCCUGGGCAGACUUCUACUGGAAUAUUUCUGGCACAUGGACUUGCGACCCCGCGGAGGGCAGGGGAUGAGAGCUCUAGAAAAGGAUCACGGCUGCGAGGCCUGUGAUCGCAGUGGCUUCAUUUUGAAUUUCCGGCGGGGAUAAUCGUCAGGUGCUCUGUUGGAGCUGUUCUUCCCGCUUCACCACCUCUCUGAGCCAGGGUCUGUGGUUCUCGUUUUGCAAAUGAAGAAAGUAAGGCUCAGAGAGUCGCUGUAACUUUCUCAGGCCAAAGGUUAGCAGGUGCUGAGCUGAGUGACAACCAACAGUUGGUCUAACUUCACAGCCAGCUCUGCUUCUCUCUCUCUCUCUCUCUCUCUCUCUGUCUGUCUCUCUCUCUCUCCCUCGUUUCUCUUUCUUUCUGCUUUCAAGAUAGGGUCUCACUUUGUAAUUCAGGUUAACUUUGAACUCACUGUGUAGCCCAGGCUGACCUCGAACUCACAGAGAUCCUCCUGCUUCAGCCUCCUCCUGCAUGCUGAGAUUACAGGUGUGCACCAACACACCUGUUGAUAUUUUUCUUAGUUUGUAUUAGGCCACGUUUGCAGCACAUAAUGAUUGUGUUUGCUGUGGGGAGCUGGCACAUGUACAUGACACAUUGUUAUUCUUUGUAUGUCCCCUUUCCCCCUCCAUGUGUUGGUCUCCUUUCCUUUUGCAAAAAGUCUGUCUCCCUGUUUCCUAUCAUCUUUCUUUUAUUUUGCUCUUUAUUUAUACUUUGGGCUUCUCAUAUGAGAGCUAAUGGAGAUUUUUUCACCAUUGAGCUAAGUCCCAAGCCCUUCUCAUAUGAGAGAAAUCAUGUAUUUAAGCUUGAGUGGGGCUGGAGAUUUAGCUCCGUGGUUCUGCUGCCUGCCUCCCAAGCACAAGGACCCGAGUUUGAUCCCCGUACCAAAAAAAAAAAAAAAAAAAAAAAAGCUUGAGUGCCUGAUUUAUUUCACUUAACAUUAUGGUCUCAAGGUGCAUCCAUUUUCCCACAAUGCUUCAAGUGUAUCCUUCUUUAUAGCAGUAUAGUACUCCACAAUGUGUUCUGUAUUUCCUUUAUCUGCCCAUGUGCUGAGGGACACAAGUUGUUUCCAGGAUUUAGCUGUUGUGAGUUGUGUGCUGGGAACUUGGUGUGCAUGAGAGACCUGGCUUUACAGAGGAGGAGGCUGGCGGCUGAGAGCUGACCACCCCGUGUCUUGCUCUUGCUGUCCUCGAAAGCUGACUGCUGCCUCUCACCGCCGGGGCUGAGCUUGCUGUCUCCCCAGCUGUGUGCUGCUUUGCUUACACACCCGCGUCUGUCGGGCCAAAGGGCUCCAGGGGUCAAGGGAGUUUGCAGAGCAGGACAGAAGGAUGGGUUUCUUCAGGCCCUUGGUGCCCAGGCGCGAGGCUCCACAAGGCCAGGGAGGCAGGCGCUUGGGACCGCCCUUCCCCAGAAUACCCCGCAGGAACAGGCACUCUUGGUCCUGUUGGGCCCUGUGAUGCUGAGGAUGGGAACCAGGCCCCUGCCUCUGCCCCACUUCCGCUGGAAUCCCCUGGGGCUCUGUGUGUUGUGGAUGCUGGCUUGGUACGAGCUUGGGCCUCAGGGGUCCUCAGUGCCACCCUGUGCACUCUGGACUCUGUGGAUGAAGACGUGAGGCCCAACCCUGGGCUCAGACCACACUGAGCCCCAAAGCCUCACUGAGCAGCACUCACGUCUGUGCUACAGGGAUUGAAACCAGGGCUUCUCACUCAGCUGCAUCCUUUCAUUUUGUUCUUGUUUUGAGACAGAGUCUCGCUGAGGUGUUAAAUUGCUUAGGAUGGACUCAAACUUGAGACCCUCCUGCCUCAGCCUCCCAGAGAGCUGGAAUGGCAGGCGUGUGCCACCGCUCCUGUCUUGUUCAAGGUUUUUACCAUGAGCAAAUGGUCUCGCCUGCCCAGACCUCGCACCCUCCUGUAGAUCGGGGCCUCUGGGUCUAGAGCUAAUAUGUCUACGCACACACGUUAAUGGGUGCACGCCGGGAGGCAGGGCUCUGAUACCGUUCUUCCUGGGUUCAAGUCCUGGGUCUGUCACUCAUCACCGUCAGUGCUCAGUGAGGGUUACAGUACCUCAUGGGGAUUAACGAGGGUUACAGGAACUCACGUCUGAAAAGCAUGGAAACAUGCGGGACACGUUAAGAAUCUCUGUGGCCUUCCACUGACCCCUGCAACCUUCCCUCUGGUUCUCCCUCUGCUAAAACAGAACAGGCUGAGCGCAGUACCGCACGCCAGUCAACCCAGCUCUCUGGGAGGCUGAGGCAGGAGGAUCCCAUGGUGGAGCCCAGCCCGGGUGACUUGGCAAGACCCAUCCUCGCCACGGCUGUGACUGGUGAGCUGCGUGUCCCGGCCCCGGCUCACGCUGCUGCCCGCCCGCAGG
ensembl:lincRNA